UAAAUUAGUUUAGUGCUAUAAUAUGUAAAGUAAUAUAUUGUUUAGUAUUAUUUAGAAAAUUUUGUUAGUUUAAUGUACUGUAAAGGACCUUUUAAUUUUUAGAAAAGAAAAAUUUAACGUUUGUACCUUGUGUAUUAGGGGUAAUUAAAAUAAUAAAUAAGUUAUUUUUCCCGAUAUAUUUGUGGGCUAAGGCUUUAUUAUAUUAAUGUUGCAUAAUUAGUAUUAAUUUUGUCUUAGGGAUGAUAUAUUAUUCAAACAAUAAGGUUUCUGGUUCUUUAAGAAUUUAAUUUAAUUAAGGUUAAAUUUUAUUUUAAAUUUAAUUAAUAUUUAUAAAGGGAUAAGCUUUUAUAAAUAAUUUAUAUAAUUUAUUGAUUUUUAAAUUAUUUAGAUUUAAGAGUGAUCUAAUUUUUACAGUGUUAUAAUGAAGUUUUAUUUUAAUUUAUUUUUGAGGGUGUUAUAUUAUAUAUUAAAGUAUUUUGAUAAUUUAGACAUAUUAGCAAUAAUGAUUAUAUUAGUAGUAAUUUACUUAUUUAAUUUAAUUAAAGAUAUAGUUAAAUUUAAGGAAUUCGGCAAUUUUAAUUUUCGCCUGUUUAGCAAAAACAUGGUUUUUUGGUUUUAAGUAAAAAAUCAGGCCUGCCCACUGAUAUAUUGAAGGGCUGCAGUAUUUUGACUGUACAAAGGUAGCAUAAUCAUUAGUCUUUUAAUUGGGGACUGGUAUGAAAGGUUCGACGGAGAUUAGCUGUCUCAAGUUUAAAAUUAUAAAAUUUAUUUUUAGGGAAAAGGGCCUAAAUAACACAAAGGGACGAGAAGACCCUAUUAAAUUUUAUUUUUAAUAGGUAAGAUUUUAUUUGAAUAAAGGUUUUACUUGCUAAAUAAUUUUGCUGGGGCGGCAAGUAGUUAACACUAUUAAUUUUUAAUAUAUUAAGCAGCGUCAAUAUGAUCCAUUUUGGGUGAUAUAAAGAUUAAAUUACUAUAGGGAUAACAGCGUAAUGUUUUUUGAGAGUUCAUAUUGACAAAAACGUUUGCGACCUCGAUGUUGGAUUAAGAAGUCUUACUGGUGUAGUAGUUGGUAUAGAAGGUCUGUUCGACCUUUAAAUUCUUACAUGAUCUGAGUUCAGACCGGCGUGAGCCAGGUCGGUUUCUAUCUUUUGUUAUAAAUUUUUAAAUUAGUACGAAAGGACCAUUUAAUAUAAAAUUUUUAUUAUAAGUGAUUUUAGUAAAACUCCAUGAAAAUUGAUAAUA
rnacentral:rRNA from 1 species